GGGGGGGGGGGGGCUAUACAUGCAGUCGAGCGAACUGAUUAGAAGCUUGCUUCUAUGACGUUAGCGGCGGACGGGUGAGUAACACGUGGGCAACCUGCCUGUAAGACUGGGAUAACUUCGGGAAACCGAAGCUAAUACCGGAUAGGAUCUUCUCCUUCAUGGGAGAUGAUUGAAAGAUGGUUUCGGCUAUCACUUACAGAUGGGCCCGCGGUGCAUUAGCUAGUUGGUGAGGUAACGGCUCACCAAGGCAACGAUGCAUAGCCGACCUGAGAGGGUGAUCGGCCACACUGGGACUGAGACACGGCCCAGACUCCUACGGGAGGCAGCAGUAGGGAAUCUUCCGCAAUGGACGAAAGUCUGACGGAGCAACGCCGCGUGAGUGAUGAAGGCUUUCGGGUCGUAAAACUCUGUUGUUAGGGAAGAACAAGUACAAGAGUAACUGCUUGUACCUUGACGGUACCUAACCAGAAAGCCACGGCUAACUACGUGCCAGCAGCCGCGGUAAUACGUAGGUGGCAAGCGUUAUCCGGAAUUAUUGGGCGUAAAGCGCGCGCAGGCGGUUUCUUAAGUCUGAUGUGAAAGCCCACGGCUCAACCGUGGAGGGUCAUUGGAAACUGGGGAACUUGAGUGCAGAAGAGAAAAGCGGAAUUCCACGUGUAGCGGUGAAAUGCGUAGAGAUGUGGAGGAACACCAGUGGCGAAGGCGGCUUUUUGGUCUGUAACUGACGCUGAGGCGCGAAAGCGUGGGGAGCAAACAGGAUUAGUUCUUUG
rnacentral:rRNA from 2 species